rnacentral:lncRNA from 1 species
CUACACCCCCUUGCCAUACCCCCACCCACCUACAAAUAUAGAUAGAUAGAUAUAGAGAGAGUCUCUCUGUCAAGUAGAAGAGAGAAGAGAAAAUUUCUUUGGGAUAAUAGGGUUGCAGAAUAUGCAGAGGCUGGCCCUUGUCAUACUUUUCCACAGCUUUCUUGAACUGCAUAUAAUUGUAUGGACAAAACCCAUUUGCAGUUCAAUUAAGCUGUGGGAAGAUAUGGAGAGAGUCAUAUGGGAAUUCAUUUUCAGGAUCAGAUUCACUACAGCAUGGUAUUUUUAGACAAUAUUGUUUUCUGCCCAGUGGAUCUUCAUUAUAAUUUCAUUUCUAUGUUAAUUUCAUGCUGAUUUUAUCUUUUUACAUACAUGAUUAGUUUUCUUCUAUUGGAUAUUCAUUUCUAUGUUAAAUUGAAUGGGAUGUUACCUUUCUACUUGCAUGAUUGUGUAACUGUUUACAGAUCUACUGACAACCUUCUCGAAAUUACUGUGUUUCAUAUGGUGAAACCCAAGAGACAUUGACUAUUGUGUUUUGGCUGUUUGUAGAUGCACUUUUGUCUAUAUUAUUUUGUAGAUUUAAAUGAAUCUGUUUUAAAAAAUCACAGAGAUAACAAUUCUUUGAAAUCAUGCUAUUUUGCAUCCAGAUCUCUGCAUUCAAUGAGGAAGUAAUAAGUUUUCAACAAUUACUCGAAAUCUCCCAAUUAUCGUAUUUUCCAGCAGUCACUAGUAUUCCCCUCGUUUUAACUUAAGAAGUUUUUAGCAACCUUUUCUAUGCAUACUUCCAUUUUCUAUUUUCAGUAUAAGCAAAAGAUUAAGAGUAAGUUUUCUGUAUAUUUCUUUAUUAGUCAUGUUUUAAUUAGGAAAAAAGGGUUUCCAUAUACAAUGUUUCUGAAUAAUUUCGAGUUACAGAAUGUUAUGUGGACCACAGGUUUAAUUGCAUUAUCUUCCUCAUAUGCAACACGUCUCCCUCCACACAAACUGUAAUUUAAACAGCCAUUUAUGUAAAUUUUUUAAAGUAUGCCUUAAGAAGAGGACGCAAAAAAGUUGUCAUCCAGUCUAUUGAAGGGUGGUCCAAAUCCUGCAAAUUUCACCUUGGCAAAGAAAAAAACAGUCAUAAUUUUGCAGAAGUAAACUAGGGCUUCCCAUUCACUAUGAUAUGGACUUCAAUGUAAAGAAGAAACAUAGAAUUACAGUGCAUUCUUGUUCAGCCGUGCUUAGAUUUUUAAUGUUGAUUGUAUCUCGAAUGGAGCUAUCGUUCUUAGGAUCUGCGUUUUUCAAUUACAGAACAUUUCCGAACAUGGACCAGCACCACCGGCUA